AUUGAACGCUGGCGGCAGGCCUAACACAUGCAAGUCGAGCGGAUGAAGGGAGCUUGCUCCUGGAUUCAGCGGCGGACGGGUGAGUAAUGCCUAGGAAUCUGCCUGGUAGUGGGGGAUAACGUCCGGAAACGGGCGCUAAUACCGCAUACGUCCUGAGGGAGAAAGUGGGGGAUCUUCGGACCUCACGCUAUCAGAUGAGCCUAGGUCGGAUUAGCUAGUUGGUGGGGUAAAGGCCUACCAAGGCGACGAUCCGUAACUGGUCUGAGAGGAUGAUCAGUCACACUGGAACUGAGACACGUGCCUGUGUCCUACGGGAGGCAGCAGUGGGGAAUAUUGGACAAUAGGCGAAAGCCUGAUCCAGCCAUGCCGCGUGUGUGAAGAAGGUCUUCGGAUUGUAAAGCACUUUAAGUUGGGAGGAAGGGCAGUAAGUUAAUACCUUGCUGUUUUGAGGUUACCAACAGAAUAAGCACCGGCUAACUUCGUG
rnacentral:rRNA from 1 species